rnacentral:rRNA from 1 species
ACAAGCGGAGGAGCAUGUGGUUAAUUCGUAUGAUACGCGAGGAACCUUACCUGGGCUCGAACGUAAGAUGACUGUAGGUGAAAGCUUACAUCUCUUCGGAGCAUUUUACGAGGUGCUGCAUGGUUGUCGUCAGCUCGUGCCGUGAGGUGUCGGGUUAAGUCCCAUAACGAGCGCAACCCCUACCUUAGUUGCCAUCAGGUUAAGCUGGGGACUCUAAAGGAACUGCCUACGCAAGUAGUGAGGAAGGCGGGGAUGACGUCAAAUCAGCACGGCCCUUACGUCCAGGGCUACACACGUGCUACAAUGGCCGAUACAGAGGGCAGCUACCUGGUGACAGGAUGCAAAUCUCCAAAGUCGGUCUCAGUUCGGAUCGGAGUCUGCAACCCGACUCCGUGAAGUUGGAUUCGCUAGUAAUCGCGCAUCAGCCAUGGCGCGGUGAAUACGUUCCCGGGCCUU